rnacentral:tRNA from 1 species
CCCUGGUUAGCUCAAUAGGUAAAGCGCUCCACUGGAAAUGGAGAGGUCCCUGGUUCGAUACCUGGUCCAGGCA